rnacentral:rRNA from 1 species
UACGUAGGGGGCUAGCGUUGUCCGGAUUUAUUGGGCGUAAAGAGCGUGUAGGCGGCCAGGUAGGUCUGGUGUGAAAACUCGAGGCUUAACCUCGAGAUGUCAUCGGAAACCAUCUGGCUAGAGUCCGGAAGAGGAGAGUGGAAUUCCUGGUGUAGCGGUGAAAUGUGCAGAUAUCAGGAGGAACACCGGUGGCGAAGGCGGGUCUCUGGGCCGAUACUGACGCUGAGGAGCGAAAGCGUGGGGAGCGAACAGG